rfam:Ipomoea nil DNA, scaffold: scaffold2191, cultivar: Tokyo-kokei standard.
GCUCUUGUAGCUCAGUUGGUUAGAGCACUCGUUUAGUAAGCGGGAGGUCUUGAGUUCAACUCUCUGUAAGAGCA